UAUACAUUUCACAUCUUUUCUUCAUCGAUUCCUCUCUCUGCACAAUCAAAAUCAAAAUCUUGUUCGUUUAUGAAAACACAAGAACAAGAUCUCUCAAAACUCACAUGAAAUUCUCAUACCAGCGGAAGUUAAUCCUCAUACCAGCCGGAGGUAUUGCUAUCAGUUGGAUUCUUUCAGAUGCAGGCUAUGUCACUGGUAGAGGAAAGCAUGCAGUCUAACAUAUCAUAGCACCUGACCAUGUCCACAAUUGUAUCGAUGUGACUUGGAGGGAGCAAAGUGGAGAUUUCAUAUUAUGCAUACAUGGACAGGUGUUAUGAUUUGUUAGAACUCAAAGCAAGGUUAAACUCACCUCAAAGGAUAAUCUAAAGUCCCAGCUAAUUCUAUAUGUGAGUUUCAA